rnacentral:rRNA from 1 species
GAUGAACGCUAGCGGCAGGCCUAACACAUGCAAGUCGAGGGAGAAGCCCUUUCGGGGGCUGAAACCGGCGUACGGGCGCGUAACGCGUAUGCAACCUACUUUUCACAGGGGGAUAGCCCGAAGAAUUCUGGAUUACUACCCCAUAAUAUUAUUGUAUGUCAUCAUUUGUUAAUUAAAACUGCGGUGCUGAAAUAUGGGCACGCGUCCUAUUAUCUAGUUGGAGUGGUAAAGGCACCCCAAGGCUACGUUAGGAAGGGGUCCUGGGGGGGAGAUCCCCCACACUGGUACUGAGGCAGAGACCAGACUCCUACGGGAGGCAGCAGAGAGGAAUAUUGGUCAAUGGUCGGAAGACUGAACCAGCCAUGCCAGGUGCAGGAAGCAUGCCUUAGGGGAUGUAAGCUACUUUUAUAUGGGAAGAAUAAGGCGUACGUGUACGUUGAUGACGGUACCAUAUGAAUAAGCAACGGCUAACUCCGUG